rnacentral:rRNA from 1 species
UUGAUCAUGGCUCAGAUUGAACGCUGGCGGCAGGCCUAACACAUGCAAGUCGAGCGGUAACAUUUCAAAAGCUUGCUUUUGAAGAUGACGAGCGGCGGACGGGUGAGUAAUGCCUGGGAAUUUGCCCAUUUGUGGGGGAUAACAGUUGGAAACGACUGCUAAUACCGCAUACGCCCUACGGGGGAAAGCAGGGGACCUUCGGGCCUUGCGCUGAUGGAUAAGCCCAGGUGGGAUUAGCUAGUAGGUGAGGUAAUGGCUCACCUAGGCAACGAUCCCUAGCUGGUCUGAGAGGAUGAUCAGCCACACUGGGACUGAGACACGGCCCAGACUCCUACGGGAGGCAGCAGUGGGGAAUAUUGCACAAUGGGGGAAACCCUGAUGCAGCCAUGCCGCGUGUGUGAAGAAGGCCUUCGGGUUGUAAAGCACUUUCAGCGAGGAGGAAAGGGUGUAAGUUAAUACCUUACAUCUGUGACGUUACUCGCAGAAGAAGCACCGGCUAACUCCGUGCCAGCAGCCGCGGUAAUACGGAGGGUGCGAGCGUUAAUCGGAAUUACUGGGCGUAAAGCGUGCGCAGGCGGUUUGUUAAGCGAGAUGUGAAAGCCCCGGGCUCAACCUGGGAACCGCAUUUCGAACUGGCAAACUAGAGUCUUGGAGAGGGGGGUAGAAUUCCAGGUGUAGCGGUGAAAUGCGUAGAGAUCUGGAGGAAUACCGGUGGCGAAGGCGGCCCCCUGGACAAAGACUGACGCUCAGGCACGAAAGCGUGGGGAGCAAACA